AUUUAUGCAGAAUAAAGAUGCAUGAAGACAUAUCCAGCAAAGUCCUUAAAAAAAGGAAAAAGAUCACAACGGAUAAGGUUGAAUGGAGGAGAAUUUUGAGGUACGUUCACAAAUUUUAAGAUUUUGGUAAAUUUGUUUUCUAAAUUGAUAACUUAAAUUUCAUUUUUAAGAAUAAAAAUUUUAUUUGUCGAGUUUUGCAUUUAGAUCACUAUUUCAUAAAACAAAAAAAAAAAAAAAAACCUUUUUUCUGUAUUUUUAUGUGUUAACCUUUUCUUCGAGAGACAACACUUUGAGAUUUAAAGUUUUCUUUAACUCUGGUUUACUCUAGGAGUCUAAGGGUUAAGGCCAUUAAAUAUAUCGUGUUAUCUAUUUUUAGAUAAGUUAAAACAUGUCUUAAAACCUAUUUUAAAAACUUAAAGCAUCUACAAUGGAGAUCUUAAAAACUUAUUUAAAUGGUUCAAUGUUUGAAUUGUUUUUUGAUCUUUAUAUCUGAUAUAAAUUUUAAUAUAAAUAAAAAAUAAAUUUUAAUAAAUAUGCAUAAACAUGCAUGCCUAUCAAAUUUUGUAUGUUUUUUUUUGUAUAGCUUAAACUUACCUGUUUAAGUAGAUAGACUUUUUGAAAAGUUUAAACUUAAUUUUUUAAUAAACAUACAUGUAAACCAGUUUUAUCUAUUCUCAACCCUAUCUUUAGCCUAACUCACCUAAAAGUUUUAGAUGUAAAUAAAUAAACAAUAAUAUGAAAUGUUUGGUGUUAGGGCUUUAUUCUCAUGAAAAUUAUCUAGUGAAACAGUUGGUUAUUAAUUUAUAGGUGCGACUUUUCUAUUAAUUUUAUGGAUCAAUCCAACUCAUUUCCUUUAGGGUAUGUUUGGUUGACAAAAGAAAGUGAAAGGAGAAAAAGAUCAUGGAAAGUGAGAUGAUUUGUCUAGUUGUUCGGUAAAAGUGAAAGUGAAAAGAAAGUGUGAGAGAAAGAAAGGAGUAUAGUUAUGAAAAGACAUAAAUAUCCUUGAACAUAAUAAAAUAUAUUACAAAAAUAAGAUAAUUAAGAAUAAUAGUACCCUAAUUAAAUAAAUACUCAAAUAUAAAAUAGCUCAAGAUUGGUUGAUAACACAUUAUGACCAUAUUUUAAUAUAAUUUAGUAGUUAACUUUUCUUAAAUUUAAAAAUGAUAAAUAAAGUACUAAUUGUUGUUUAUUUAUUUAUUUAUAAUAAAAUAAAAGGAUGGUAGGUAUUAUGGUCUUUUUCUUCAAAAAGUAGUAAUCUGCAUCCUUUCUGUCCUAUGAUGUGCGGAAACAUAUUUGAGGUGGGUCCCACCCAAACUUUCCAUCCUCUUGUGCUUUUUAUGUUAUUCCAAACUGAGGAAGGAUGUUGGAAUCCGUUCCUUCUUUCCUACUUCAAUCUUUCCUUCAUGUUUCUAGUCUAACCAAACACACCCUUAGUGAGUCAAUCCAGUUAAGUAAUCUAAAUCCAAUAUCCCUUGGAGUGUUUUCAUUUGAAUGCAUUAUUUGAGUUGGUCUGAUCACGUUGGUUUGAGACUUUAAAGUAUGUUUUUUUUUUUUUUUUCUAAGGUCUCAAUUCUCUCUGGGAUUAAUUUGGAUGAACUUAUUUAACUUCUUAAAAGAAAAAGUAAAUUAUACUCUCAUCCGCUAAUAGAAGAUUGAAUUACACCCAUCCUCUCUUAUAUU
rnacentral:lncRNA from 1 species